rnacentral:rRNA from 1 species
UGCCAGCCGCCGCGGUAACACGGGGGGCGCAAGCGUUAUUCGGAAUUAUGGGCGUAAAGGGCGCGCAGGCGGUCUUGUAAGUUGGGGGUGAAUUCCCGGAGCUCAACUCCGGAACUGCCUCCAAAACUACAAAGCUAGAGGAUGUGAGAGGAUAGUGGAAUUCCGAGUGUAGAGGUGAAAUUCGUAGAUAUUCGGAAGAACACCAGUGGCGAAGGCGACUGUCUGGCACAUUUCUGACGCUGAGGUGCGAAAGCGUGGGGAGCAAACAGGAUUAGAUA